GGUGUGACUGCGUACCUUUUGUAUAAUGGGUCAGCGACUUAUAUUCUGUAGCAAGGUUAACCGUAUAGGGGAGCCGCAGGGAAACCGAGUCUUAACUGGGCGUUAAGUUGCAGGGUAUAGACCCGAAACCCGGUGAUCUAGCCAUGGGCAGGUUGAAGGUUGGGUAACACUAACUGGAGGACCGAACCGACUAAUGUUGAAAAAUUAGCGGAUGACUUGUGGCUGGGGGUGAAAGGCCAAUCAAACCGGGAGAUAGCUGGUUCUCCCCGAAAGCUAUUUAGGUAGCGCCUCGUGAAUUCAUCUUCGGGGGUAGAGCACUGUUUCGGCUAGGGGGUCAUCCCGACUUACCAACCCGAUGCAAACUACGAAUACCGAAGAAUGUUAUCACGGGAGACACACGGCGGGUGCUAACGUCCGUCGUGAAGAGGGAAACAACCCAGACCGCCAGCUAAGGUCCCAAAGUCACAGUUAAGUGGGAAACGAUGUGGGAAGGCACAGACAGCCAGGAUGUUGGCUUAGAAGCAGCCAUCAUUUAAAGAAAGCGUAAUAGCUCACUGGUCGAGUCGGCCUGCGCGGAAGAUGUAACGGGGCUAAACUGUGCACCGAAGCUGCGGCAGCGACACUAUGUGUUGUUGGGUAGGGGAGCGUUCUGUAAGCCUGCGAAGGUGGCCUGUGAGGGUUGCUGGAGGUAUCAGAAGUGCGAAUGCUGACAUAAGUAACGAUAAUGCGGGUGAAAAGCCCGCACGCCGGAAG
rnacentral:rRNA from 1 species